rnacentral:rRNA from 1 species
CUACGUGCCAGCAGCCGCGGUAAUACGGAAGGUCCAGGCGUUAUCCGGAUUUAUUGGGUUUAAAGGGAGCGUAGGCUGGAGAUUAAGUGUGUUGUGAAAUGUAGACGCUCAACGUCUGAAUUGCAGCGCAUACUGGUUUCCUUGAGUACGCACAACGUUGGCGGAAUUCGUCGUGUAGCGGUGAAAUGCUUAGAUAUGACGAAGAACUCCGAUUGCGAAGGCAGCUGACGGGAGCGCAACUGACGCUUAAGCUCGAAGGUGCGGGUAUCAAACAGGAUUAGAUACCCUGGUAGUCCGCACAGUAAACGAUGGAUGCCUGCUGUUGGUACCUGGUAUCAGCGGCUAAGCGAAAGCAUUAAGCAUCCCACCUGGGGAGUACGCCGGCAACGGUGAAACUCAAAGGAAUUGACGGGGGCCCGCACAAGCGGAGGAACAUGUAGUUUAAUUCGAUGAUACGCGAGGAACCUUACCCGGGCUUGAA